rnacentral:rRNA from 1 species
AAAUUUGGACAAUGGGUGAAACCCUUAUCCAGCCAUGCCGCGUGUGUGACGAAGGUCUUCCGAUUGUAAAGCACUUUAAGUUGGGAGGAAGAGUUGUAGGCUAAUACCUUGCAAUUUUGACGUUACCAACAGAAUAAGCACCGGCUAACUUCGUGCUAGCAGCCGCGGUAAUACGAAGGGUGUAAGCGUUAAUCGGAAUUACUGGUCGUAAAGCGCGCGUAGGUGGUUCGUUAAGUUGGAAGUGAAAGCCCCGGGCUUAACCUGGGAAUUGCUUUCAAAACUGACGAGCUAGAGUACGGUAGAGGGUAGUGGAAUUUCCUGUGUAGCGGUGAAAUGCGUAGAUAUAGGAAGGAACAUCAGUGGCGAAGGCGACUACCUGGACUGAUACUGACACUGAGGUGCGAAAGCGUGGGGAGCAAACAGG